CUUGUAGCUGCAAAAGAAAUGGAAAGAUGUUUAUUUGGAUUUUUUGUAUAAAAGUUCCAUUAUGUUUACCGCAGAAAGUCGGUUAUGAGGAAUACAAAGACCAAUUGCACCAGAUUGUUUUGCCAUCCAUUCACCUGAGUCUCCGUGAUAUUACGCCAGGGACCCAAUAGAUAUUCGGUGACAUACGGCUCUGAGGGUCGGAUCUCGCGCACACAUCCGAAGAUGCAUAGCAGGCAGGAAAUUUUCAGCCACUCUUUCAUUGUGAUAAUUGUGUAACGGUGGCGCGCAACGUAAAGUAACGUAAUGGAUAGCGUAUGCCGUUCGGUUGGGGCUGGCUUUCCGCAUUCGUGGAAUGAAUCCGCUGUUGGGCUGUUCUGUUUGGUUAAGCGCUUUUUAAUAACACGGCCACAAUUGUUGUAUCAGGCCAUGGACGCCCGUACUCAAUCUAAUCUUUGCACUCUCUCUGGAUGGCCAUUAUCAGUCUAAAACACCCUAUUUAUAUAUUUAUAUUUACACAGAAAUCUCUGUUCAAACGAUUGUUAGAUAAUUAAAAGAUUUAUACUGCGACGGCCGAACCAAAUGCAGAACCAAAACGUUGCGCCCGACGACAGCCGGCGAUAUGCUCACGUUUACUUUUUGAAUGUCAAAUAAACAUCUACACGCGAGCAGCACAUCGCUUAUAUGUAUGUCUGUAUGUAUAUCUGUCCUCUGUCCGAUCGAAGCGACCCACCUGUAGCGUUCAGGCUAUCAAUUUUCAGACACCCUACACGUGGUUUUGCUGUUGAUUGUAAUUUAAGAUCGAAUCGAAGGAACUUUCUAGCUCUCACAGCUUUCGUUAUCGAUUUAUCACAAAACACAACACUUAAUUUAAAUACAAAUUUACCUUCCAAAGCCACAGAUGAAUGAACAAAUACAAAACAAUUAAAGUCAAUUGACUUUUGUGAGGCCGUAAAUAAAUUUCGAUUUCAUGCUUUCGGUGGGGCUGUUACAUCACAGCAACGCAACAGAGCGACCGCAGCAUCUGUACAGUGACUCAAUAACAGCGCCGUGCAGCUGUUCCCACCUGAAUGGCAACUGCGUCGGUGAAACCAAUAACAACAAGAACCAGAAUCGAAAGCUACCGUUGAAGCCGAAGCUUUUGAUACCCUUGCAGAGCCAUGGUUAUACUUCGAUUUUUUUAUUUCAUUUUGGAAAGGCUAUCGAAAGCUCAUUAAGCCAAAGACUUGCCUUAUGAACUGUCGUUCCUGUGCGGCUGCAGCUUUAUAAUAUAGUGAUUCUAUACCGAUCUGCGUUUCAAAUCUCUGCUCAAAAUCAUUAUACCCUCUCUGUCAAGAAUAAAAACAGAUGUUUAUAUAUUGUAAAAAAUACACGUUUAUUUAGCGCGCUCACUUUAAAAUUAGUAAUGUGUUUCAAUGUUGUACAGGGGGUAGUAUUCGGUAUUCUAUGUAUAACAAACAAAUUAAAUAGGAGAAACUUUUAGCUAUUUACACAAAACACACGGAGGAUUUCCCAGGAAAAAAACUGACGCCUACGUUUUCCACACAUACGUACACACACACACGAGUAUAUGACGGACAGCUGCCUUUGGACAAACUGAUUCC